ACGGCUCAGUAACACGUGGACAACCUGCCCUUAGGUUGGGUAUAAACCCGGGAAACUGGGUAUAAUACCCGAUAGGUCUCGAUUGCUGGAAUGCAUCGAGAUUUAAAGCUCCGGCGCCUAAGGAUGGGUCUGCGGCCUAUCAGGUAGUAGUGGGUGUAGCGUACCUACUAGCCUACGACGGGUACGGGUUGUGAGAGCAAGAGCCCGGAGAUGGAUUCUGAGACACGAAUCCAGGCCCUACGGGGUGCAGCAGGCGCGAAAACUUUACGAUGCUGGCAACAGCGAUAAGGGAACCUCGAGUGCCAGGUUACAAAUCUGGCUGUCGAGAUGCCUAAAAAGCAUUUCAUAGCAAGGGCCGGGCAAGACCGGUGCCAGCCGCCGCGGUAACACCGGCGGCUCGAGUGGUAACCGUUAUUAUUGGGUCUAAAGGGUCUGUAGCCGGCCGGAUAAGUCUCUUGAGAAAUCUGGCAGCUUAACUGUCAGGCUUUCAGGAGAUACUGUCUGGCUCGAGGCCGGGAGAGGUGAGAGGUACUUCAGGGGUAGGGGUGAAAUCUUGUAAUCCUUGAAGGACCACCAGUGGCGAAGGCGUCUCACCAGAACGGACCUGACGGCAAGGGACGAAAGCUAGGGGCACGAACCGGAUUAGAUACCCGGGUAGUCCUAGCCGUAAACGAUACUCGCUAGGUGUCGGCCACGGUGCGACCGUUGUCGGUGCCGUAGGGAAGCCGUGAAGCGAGCCACCUGGGAAGUACGGCCGCAAGGCUGAAACUUAAAGGAAUUGGCGGGGGAGCAC
rnacentral:rRNA from 1 species